rnacentral:misc_RNA from 1 species
UUUCCGUAGGUGAACCUGCGGAAGGAUCAUUAUUGGAUUUUGAAACUUCAGGCUGCUGCUGGCUCUCCUCGGAGGGCAUGUGCACGCUUGUUGUCCAUUAUUUCUCCCACUGUGCACAAAUUUUAGACCUUUCAGUAGGCCUAUGUUGUUUUUCACAAUCUCUGAAUGUAAUAGAAUGGUUUUGAAUCUUGGGAAAUACAAUACAACUUUCAGCAACGGAUCUCUUGGCUCUC